GACGAACGCUGGCGGCGUGCUUAACACAUGCAAGUCGAACGGAAAGGCCCUGCUUUUGUGGGGUGCUCGAUUGGCGAACGGGUGAGUAACACGUGAGUAACCUGCCCUUGACUUUGUGAUAACUUCACGAAACUGGGGCUCAUACCGGAUAGGAGCUCCUGCUGCAUGGGGGGGGUUGGAAAGUUUCGGCGGUUGGGGAUGGACUCGCGGCUUAUCAGCUUGUUGGUGGGGUAGUGGCUUACCAAGGCUUUGACGGGUAGCCGGCCUGAGAGGGUGACCGGCCACAUUGGGACUGAGAUACGGCCCAGACUCCUACGGGAGGCAGCAGUGGGGAAUAUUGCACAAUGGGCGGAAGCCUGAUGCAGCAACGCCGCGUGCGGGAUGACGGCCUUCGGGUUGUAAACCGCUUUCGCCUGUGACGAAGCGUGAGUGACGGUAAUGGGUAAAGAAGCACCGGCUAACUACGUG
rnacentral:rRNA from 1 species